UGCCGGAAAAGGGGACUGCAUCUCCGUGAUUCCGGCCGCCGGGAGAGGUUCUGUGACCUCUGGAAGCACCGCCGGAGUUCCGGACUCAGCUUCUGCCACUCGAGACCCUGCUGCCGUCGCCGGAAAGGUUUGCCGUUGGCGCGAUCUGAAAUUAUCGUCGCUGUCGCUUGAGGUGGCUGCCGCGUUGCCGCCGAACCGGUUCAGAGACCGCCGCUGUUUUGGUUCAGUCGCUCCUUCUUCGGUUCGAGUUGUUGAGACUGUUGCGAAAGUGGCUUGGAGCUGAGGUUUUGGUUGCCGUCAGUUCGAUUUGAGGCGGAAAGGACUUGAUGAGUCAUUUGGGUUAUGGAAUUGCGUUUUGAGGUAGGGGCGCUUUCCAAAAACUAUUUUUUAUGUAUUGAAAUUAUUACAUAUGGAUACUGAUGUGAGAUAUUGUGUAUUUGGUGAUUGUAUCUGCCUUAUGUAUUACUUGAUUGACUCGAAUGAUUAUGGAUGUUGGUUUGGCUGAA